rnacentral:sRNA from 1 species
CCAUGAUGAGCAAGUCAGUAAGCGGUGGCCAUCAGCUCCUGCCUCCAGGUUCCUGCCCUGACUUCCGUCUGUGACUGACAGGGUGAGCUGAGAUAAACCCAUUUCUCCCCAAGUUGCUUUGGUCACGAUGCUUCACCACAGCAAUAGUGACCCUAUCUAGGACAAAAUGCUUUAUCUUUUAUUUUCAUCAGAGAAUUGUCUUAAUCUUUUGUUAGAUCUUAAACAACUUUUAGGACAUUGCGCAAGAACAACACGCAAAAUGUGACUCUUGAAAACCUGUAUGAUCUUCUCUUCUGCUGCUAGGGUUAGCUCUAGACUUCUUGGGAACCCCUUGAUCAUCUUUCAGAGCCUUAAAGGUCAGCAACAGUGGACACCCAAAAAUUUUUAUUGCCCCAUUUUGAGGCAGGAUAGAAACAGUGAAAAUCUGGGAACAGGAGAAAGGGACAGGAACCCCUCGGGUAAGCAUCUGACCAAAGCCUCCCACGGGCAGAGAAUUGAGAAGUCCAUCAUAGUUAAUGAAUGCAAGCCUUUCUCUCUCUAACUGCUUUCAAUCCUCUAAGAACUUCACCAGCAACCCCAUUUGUGGGGGAAAAGAUACCAACUAAACUUUUAACAUCCCAAGUGGUUCCUAUUCUCCCUAUCUCUGAUUAUAAUUCCAUACAGGCCAUGUCUAGAGAGCCACCUCCCUUAUUUCAAUUAUCAAAAGAAAAAGAGAAAAAAAUCUUAACAGCCUUUCGGGGUGCAACUUGAGAAUCACCCAAAAGAUCUGUACUGCGAAUACUGAGAAAAUUGUUACUGUCCUUUGACCCAAUACCUAAACUUUUAUAUGUCUCACUCCGUCUCUCUUUUCAGAAGCUUCUUAUGAUGAAUAAUGAGGAGACAGCUUUGGGUAGAUGGUGGAGAAGGAAGAAGGCCAGUUACCUUGUGUUGUGGUUUGUCCUGAAGUUAUCUGUAUUUUGAUGCUAAUUCCGCUGCCCCGAGGACAGCUGCGUAGUCACUACUCAGGAAUCCUCUUCAUCUGUCUGUGGUUGAGAAGGAAAAGCGAUGUGGAAUCUGCUCUCCUUCAUCUGUCUUUGGAACAGUUCUCUUCAUGAAGGUCAGAGAUGAAUGGGUACUGCCAUGGUGGACAACACAAAUGUCAUCUGGGAUGGACAAACCUCUACCCCACAGCACAUCAGCGCAGAUGCCUUUGCAAUCUCUUGGAUGCCCUGAUGUAGCCAGCAACUGAAUAGAUAGAAGCUUUCCUCACAAGCAAGAGAUGGCCUCAGAAACUUUCCUCACCAAGUAAGAGACAGCCUCGGUAGUCAUCAAGAAGAUACUGGAAGAAAUCUCCCUCCACCCCCACCCGGUCUGGAGUGUCCAAGGCAAUCUGGUCAGACAACGGCCCUACUUUCAUUGCCAGGGUAAGCCAGGGUGUGGCCAAGUAUUUAGAGGUCGAU